rnacentral:rRNA from 1 species
GACGAACGCUGGCGGCUGCCUAAUACAUGCAAGUCGAGCGAAUGACGAGAAGCUUGCUCCUCUGAUUUAGCGGCGGACGGGUGAGUAACACGUGGGCAACCUGCCCUACAGAUCGGGAUAACUCAGGGAAACCUGGGCUAAUACCGGAUAAUCCUUCGAAUCACAUGUUUUGAAGUUGAAAGGCGCUUCGGCGUCACUGUAGGAUGGGCCCGCGGUGCAUUAGCUAGUUGGUGGGGUAACGGCCUACCAAGGCAACGAUGCAUAGCCGACCUGAGAGGGUGACGGGCCACAUUGGGACGGAGACACGGCCCAAACUCCUACGGGAGGGAGCAGUAGGGAAUCUUCCACAAUGGACGAAAGUCUGAUGGAGCAACGCCGCGUGAGUGAUGAAGGUUUUCGGAUCGUAAAACUCUGUUGUAAGGGAAGAACAAGUACGUUAGGAAAUGAACGUACCUUGACGGUACCUUAUUAGAAAGCCACGGCUAACUACGUGCCAGCAGCCGCCGUAA